rnacentral:sRNA from 1 species
AGCAAAGGUCGACUGACGAACCAGUAGC